GGUGUUAACGUACUCGCUGGUGUUGGCCUUCUUUCCGCUCCGUUCACAAUUCAUGAAGCUGGAUGGGCUGGUCUUACAGUUCUGUCUGUUUUUGCAAUUAUUUGCUGUUAUACUGGAGUUCUUCUCAAGCAUUGUUUCGAGAGCAAAGACGGUAUUGCAACCUAUCCAGACAUCGGGGAGGCCGCCUUUGGAAGAAUUGGCCGCUUGAUCAUAUCUAUUAUUUUGUAUACUGAGUUAUAUUCAUACUGCAUGGAAUUCAUUAUACUGGAAGGUGAUAAUAUGACAUCAAUCUUUCCUGACGUCAAUAUUAAUUUGUUUGGGAUUCAUGUCGACAGUAAACAUUUCUUUGGAGUGUUAACUGCACUGGUAGUCCUGCCCACAGUAUGGCUGCGAGAUCUGCGAGUGCUAUCAUACCUUUCAGCGGGUGGUGUGAUUGCAACUCUUGUGGUGUUUAUAUCUGUCACUUUAGUCGGCACCACUGAAGGUGUAGGGUUCCAUCAGACCGGGGAAGCAGUAAAGUGGAGUGGCAUGCCCUUUGCUAUUGGUAUUUACGGUUUCUGCUACUCUGGGCAUUCGGUAUUUCCUAAUAUCUACCAAUCAAUGUCUGAUCGCACAAAAUUCCCUAAGGCACUUUUCAUAUGCUUCAUAGUUUGCACAGCGAUAUAUGGCUCGUUCGCUAUUAUUGGCUAUCUCAUGUUUAGUGACAAGACUCUGUCGCAAAUAACUUUGAAUCUUCCAAAAGAGUCAUUUGCCUCGAAAGUUGCUCUGUGGACCACGGUGAUCAACCCUUUCACCAAAUUUGCCUUGUUGUUAAACCCAUUGGCUCGGAGUUUAGAAGAGUUGCGCCCUGAAGGAUUUUUGAACGAAACAAUCGUCUCUAUUAUACUGAGGACGAGCCUUGUGGCGUCAACUGUUGUCAUUGCAUUUCUUCUUCCAUUAUUCGGUAUGCUUAUACCUUUGUUCAGCACUGAUUAUUUUUGCUAUGCAUUUUUUUAA
rnacentral:rRNA from 1 species